GAAUUACAAAUAUUGUGACUAUAACAUUUUUUGCGUAGUUUUUAAACAUGUUAAUUUUGUUUCAAAAAACUUAAAAAAUCUAUAUCCAAAAUAAAAUUAUUGACUCUUGAAAUUUAAAUUAUGAUACAUAAAUUAGAAUAUAAGAGGUACAAAUUUCACAUUUUGAAGCCUGCUACUUGAUAUUGAAUGAGUGGUGAUAAAAUUGGGACAACUCACCAAUCCCAAUCACAAAAGGGUGUAAAAUGGUACUGUUUGUGUCUUUAAUAUGUAUGUCUUUUAGUCAGUAUUCAAGGGCCAGACAAUAAUAUCAAGAAAAGUUGAUGUGCAUGUAUUUUAACAUGUGCAGAGGGAGGUGCUGUAACACCCGAGGAGGUGCGAGAGUCGAGAGAUUAAUGGUAGGAAUACGCGGAAGGGUGAGGUAGGUCAAAAAAGUAUUUAGAAAAAUGAGCUUAUUUUGUAAAUAUUUUUUUAAAAAAAAUACUUUAGGUGAGAAGUCUUUUGUGUUGAUUAUAAAGUUAAAAGACAAUAAUUUGUGUUUGACUGAACUUUUUUAAAUGUUUCUAAGUGUAAUUUUUUCUCAAAAAGUGUUCUUCAAAUUAAGAGGGAUUUUGGGUAGAAACUAUUUUAUACUCCCUCCGUCCCUAUUUAGUUGUCCAUAUUUCCUCUUUUAGUUAUUCCUAUUUAGUUGUCCAUUUUGACAAAUCAAGAAAGGACAACAAAUUUUUUUCUAUUAUACCCUUAUUUAAAUAAAGUUGUCAUAAAUAAAGUAAAUAAACUUAUGAACUUCCCAACAUUGAUUAGUUAUCUUGAGUUAAUUUAUUUUCGAAUUGUAAAUUGUACUAUAAAAGUAAAAUUGUAACUUCACUAUGCUAAUCAUUGUUGCCUUAAUCUGUGUGUCAUUUCUAAAGUGGACAACUAAAUAGGGACGGAGGGAGUAUGUUAUGAAAAACAACUUUUGUUAUUCUUUAGAAGCACUUAUUGUCCCUCCAUAAAGCUUGCCAAACACCUUAAGCAAUUUUUUGAAGAUGAGCAAAAAUUUAAGAAAAAGCACUUUUGACCUUCCAAAAGUUUGGCCAAUAGACUGUUCAAAAUUUGAACCGUGACAUACACCUGACCUACACAUAAAUUGAUGCACUAUGUAUCCUAAUUCUCUUCUAAAAGACACUAGGAAAACUUUUCUCAUUCCUUCUUCAAGAAACAAGCCUGAUGCUGAUUGAUACAAAUUCAAACGAGCAAUACAUGAGUCUAUGUCAUUUUCGUUUGAGAAAAGACCUAUCCAUGCAAAUGUUUGUUAACUGAAAUAAUAUAAAUGAGACAAACUUUUAACAAAUAUCAUAUAUAAGCAUUUUCUCAAAGUUCGAUGAUAUAUUUGAGCCUUUUCCCUUUUUUUUUAGUAACCAAAUACCAGAAAAUAAGUAACAAACUUUUCUUUUUCGUAGGACCUUCAUACCAAACACAACUUUUGUUUUACUUGCUCUCUUGUUGUAUACUAAGGUCUUAUAUUUUCAAGCAAAGCAUAUGGAAGUAGUAACAUAGGGCUAAUAAAGAGGAAAUCUAACUCAGUUCUAACAACUAGGAACACAAUAUGUCAAAGUUCCCAGCUUAUUAUACUAAUCAACAAACUAAAAUGAGAAAGUAGUUGACAAGACUCUAUAGUAACUUGAGCAUUUGCCUCAUGGACUUGAGAAAUGUUCACUUCAAGACUCUAUGAUACACUUGCUUGUUAUAUGGUUUGAGCUCAUGAUUGCCCCAAAAACAGGUGUUGGUGGAGCGGGUCUUGAUGGCAACGCAGAAAUGAAGUCUACCAAAUCAUUCAGAUUCUUAUGUGAAGUACCAUCAAUCUGCAUUGCAGCAACUAUGUUUUGUUUCAUGUCUAC
rnacentral:lncRNA from 1 species